rnacentral:lncRNA from 1 species
GGAAGCUAGACCAGCCUCCCUCGUUACAUAGGCUCGUCCUCUGCAUUGCAUCCGAGCUUCAGUGAUUUGCUGUUUGGAGACUGCAGAUUUGCAUAGAGCCCCUAGCUUCACCAGCGUGUGUGGUUUUUCGGUUCUUUUAUUUAUUUUUCUUUUAUUUUUUUCCUUUUUCUCUUUUCUUUCUUUUCUUUUUCUUUUCUUUUUUCACCUCUCCGCUUUCUCAUCUGCUCCUGCUUUUCCUCUGCUCGAUUCCCCCAGUUCGAUCCCAGCUAUCUUCACAAGGGUGCCCUCUUCCCUCUGAACCCAUCGCCGGGCGUAAGUGUCAGGAGGCGGCGGACUCGGAGAUUGCCUCUGGAGCAGGCGAUGCGCGCCGCUGCUCUGCGCGCUGCCCGGGGGAGGCUGGC